rnacentral:rRNA from 1 species
GUUUGAUCCUGGCUCAGAGCGAACGUUAGCGGCAGGCUUAACACAUGCAAGUCGAGCGAGAAAGGGGCUUCGGCUCCGAGUAAAAGCGGCGGACGGGUGCGUAACACGUGGAUAAUCUGCCUCGUGGCGGGGGACAACAGUCCGAAAGGACUGCUAAUACCGCAUGUCAGGUCGGAAACUCCGGUUUCUGACGAAAAAGAGGGCGUCCGCAAGGAGCUCUCACCACGAGAUGAGUCCGCGUCCCAUCAGCUAGUUGGCGGUGUAAUGGACCACCAAGGCUUAGACGGGUAGCUGGUCUGAGAGGAUGACCAGCCACACUGGGACUGAGACACGGCCCAGACUCCUACGGGAGGCAGCAGUGGGGAAUAUUGGACAAUGGGCGAAAGCCUGAUCCAGCCAUGCCGCGUGAGUGAUGAAGGCCUC